UACGAAGGGGGCGAGCGUUGUUCGGAAUUACUGGGCGUAAAGGGCGCGCAGGCGGCCCUUGAAGUCAGGCGUGAAAGCCCCGGGCUCAACCUGGGAGGUGCGCUUGAUACUCGAGGGCUUGAGUGCGGGAGAGGAGAGUGGAAUUCCCAGUGUAGAGGUGAAAUUCGUAGAUAUUGGGAAGAACACCGGUGGCGAAGGCGGCUCUCUGGGCCGUUACUGACGCUGAGGAGCGAAAGCGUGGGGAGCGAACAGG
rnacentral:rRNA from 1 species